GGGGAAAUUCCAGAGUGGCCAAAUGGGGCAGACUGUAAAUCUGCUGUCUACGACUUCGGUGGUUCGAAUCCGCCUUUCCCCACCA
rnacentral:tRNA from 1 species